AUGUACCACCCGUACACUCCAGUUCCUUCUCGCCGUCCGCACCAGCCUGGCGACUGCUCGCUAUGUUUUGUUAGCC
rnacentral:sRNA from 1 species